CACUGCUGGGGGGGCCCGUGCAGGCGGGUCCCCUCUCUUCCCACCCGCAGAGCUGAGGGGUAAUUCUGGCCACUUCUCAAGCCUCACUGGCCUUAGGUCUUAGUGGUCACACGUCCCGGCCCCUGGCUUCCCUCAGAGGGGCCCAGACCAGGUAGGUCACAUGACCCAAGUGGCUGGGUCACGAAAGGGCCUGACGGUCCACUGGGGUGUAUGCUGAGUGGGGCCAAGGCCCCCUCUUGAUGAGAGACACAGACUGGCCUGUUGUGCCCGCCAGGUCGGAUCUGGGGCACUUCCUCGAGCACUGGGGCCGAGCUCCCAGGUGGUCAGAGGUGGGCAGCCGUCUGUGGGGUUAGGCCAGGCAGGGAGGGCCCAGGACAGAGCAGGGGAUCACUGGCCAGCUGGGGACAGAGUCCCCACGGAGUGGGACGCUUAGAUCAAAGAGGUCCCCCCGGAGCGAGUGACUGUUGCUUCGUGGCCACACUGUGGGAGCAGAGGGACCGAUGUCCCCGAAUGCACCAGGCACAGAAAUGGGAGGCCCACCCUGCAUUCAGGCUGCAGACCUGACUGUCCCAGUUGGUGUUGGGGGGCGCCCGGGGCUGAGGCCACUGGAGCCGUGGGGGACGCCCCCCAGGGCACAAAGGCUGCGGGAUGUUCUCCGUCCGUGGUUCCUGGGCCAGCGAGGCUGCUCGCCCGGCUGACCCCCAAGGGGCAGGGUCCCCGACUGCAGGGCACCUGGAGUGGGCGAGGCCACACUCACUCACGCUCAGGCUCUUGUGUCCAAGUGCCCGGGCACUUGCACACCCCUUGCCCACACUCUGGUCCCAGUGUGCACACACUCGCUCACACAUGUGUGGUCCCACACGCCCGCUCCCUCACAUGGUCACACACACACGCUCAAAUGCGUGCGCACACACACACGCACACGCAUGCAGACAGGGCCCUGUGCACGCGCCCACGCCCCCCAGGAAGAGUGUGGGAACCGGGCGCCACCUGGUGGUGAACAUCGGCGUCCUGGUGUGACAUGCCCCCUCUGGAACCUUCCAGAGCUGGCUCUGCUCAGGUGAAGGGUGGGGGGCUGCAGCCCUGCCCAGGACUCAGUCCCACGGGGCAAGGUCCUUGCACAGGAGGCCGUAGGCACCCCUAGCACCCAGAGCACAGCCUGGCUGGGCAGACAGCACGGUGCACUGGGAGGGCGGGAACACAGGCUCCUGGGACCCCGCCCGGGCCUGGGGGAGCCUGCGCGGCUCCAAUGGGGAGGAGGCCCUUGGUGCCCUGACCUGAGGGAUUCCGCGGUCCCCACGUUCUCCAUGGCUGUGCUGAGCCUUCUUUCCUGUGAAUGUGCAAGAGCCCAGACUCCGGAGACCAGCUUCCCACCCCUGCUGUCCAGGAGGACCCCAGUGAUUGGCACAUCGCGUGACCCGUGUGGGGAGGCACAUCAGCCUGGGCCCGGGCGCGGCCUGGACGCUGGCGAGGCCGUGCCACGUGAGCACCGAGCCCCCCGCGACGCUGCUCGAGUCUAUGAAGUGAGAAGCGCGCUUGGCUCCUCCGGGGCCUCCUGGCUCCCGCGACCCCAGGCCGGUUCCCGGAAGAUGCUGGACACAGAAAGGGCGGUGCUGGACGCGAGCCCACAACAGGACCUGGUCGUAAACUGGGGCCGCGGGUGGGGCCGCAGCGCAGACCAGGGGCCCUAACGGGAGCUCCUCCCCAGCCCGGCCCCCAGCUGUCGGCCCUUCCUAGGAACCGGCACCUUUGUUUGCCCUUUGAUGGAGCUGGUGGCCUGAGCUGCCUGAGCCCUGGCCCUGGGGGCUGCGGACGCAGAGCCACACCCCCGGCCAUGGGGCAUGGGGUACGGGGGCCCAGAAAAGGUGGGCCCGUGCAGAGGCCCCGUGGCUACCGCCUGGCCCUGGGCUGGGGCCGGGAGCCUGUGGCUCCCCUUUUCUGUGGCUUGGCCUCGUCUUGAAUUGAGGAAGGUGAAGGUCUGCUGAGGCGGAUGGACCGCUGUCAUUUUAGGUGGGAGGGGGCGCUGGGCGGGGAGCUGGUGUGUGUUCACCUCCUGCAGACAGAACCCCCCACCCCGCCAGGCAUCAGUGUUUGUGGGGUGAUUUUAAUACCACUCUCAGACGGUGAAUUGUCUCAGCCACACCCCAGCGUGGCCCACGAUUCUCUUGGGACCCUCAAGGCCCUUUGCGGGGGGCCGUGGGCUCCGGACUCUGCAGGGCCAGGCUGCAAGGGGUCAGCCUUGCUCAGGGGCUCGCGAGUGCGCAGAGGGUACGCGAGCCGCCCGGGGAAGCCGCGGGCUCCUUUGCAAGGAUCCGGCGUGACGGGUCCCGUCCCACCCCCACCCCCCACCCCCCCCACCCGGGGACCUGGCAGCAAACGCUCUCAUCUCACUUCAUCCAGUCUCAGCCCCCCACCCCCCCAGGUGAGGACGGCGGCCGCCCCAGGAAGCGCUCUCCGGAGGCAACCGCGGUGCGAGCCGACCCGGCCCCGUGGCCACUGGGCUGUGGGUGUUCAGACCUGGGACCCUGGCAGCCCUUCUCCCGGAAUGAACCAGGGACCCUGUGGCUUCAAGGAAGAGAGCGGACGGGACCGUCGUUAUUGCCACGCUUCCGUGUGAAGCUGGUUUUCUCCGGCCACUUCCAUCCAGGCGACGUGUCCCUGCACACGGACGUGGACCCAGCGAAGAGGUGCAGCCGCCUCUCAAUCUGCAGAAACGCCUCUCUUCUCACUGAACUUUUGUGUUGGAAAAAAGUUGUAUUUGAUUUUACUUUUUAAUGUUUAUUUUUGAGUGAGAGAGAGAGAG